rnacentral:rRNA from 1 species
UUAAAUGAAUUGACGGGGCCCGCACAAGCGGUGGAGCAUGUGGUUUAAUUCGAUGCAACGCGAAGAACCUUACCUGGGCUUGACAUCCCCGGGAAUCCCUUGGAAACAAGGGAGUGCCCUUCGGGGAACCUGGAGACAGGUGCUGCAUGGCUGUCGUCAGCUCGUGUCGUGAGAUGUAGGGUUAAGUCCCGCAACGAGCGCAACCCUUGUCUUUAAUUGCCAUCAUUGAGUUGGGCACUUUAAAGAGACUGCCGGUGUUAAACCGGAGGAAGGUGGGGAUGACGUCAAGUCCUCAUGGCCCUUAUGGGUAGGGCUUCACACGUCAUACAAUGGUCGGUACAGAGGGUUGCCAAGCCGCGAGGUGGAGCCAAUCCCUUAAAGCCGAUCGUAGUCCGGAUCGUAGUCUGCAACUCGACUGCGUGAAGUCGGAAUCGCUAGUAAUCGCGGAUCAGCAUGUCGCGGUGAAUACGUUCCCGGGUCUU